rnacentral:rRNA from 1 species
AUUUCCGCCCUCCUUACUCACGGAGGGUUUCAGCUGUUCCUUUUGGUUCGACUGACUCUCACCUGCUUGACGUUACCCAUGCCUUUUUGCGUACAGUUUGUUUUCCCAGCAGGGCAUUUUGCCCCUACGGGAUAUCAAUCCACCCAUGUAUUUGCAGUCAAUGUCUGAAAAUAAUAAUAAUUACAACUUUUAACAACGGAUCUCUUGGUUCUGGCAUCGAUGAAGAACGCAGCGAAAUGCGAUAAGUAGUGUGAAUUGCAGAAUUCAGUGAAUCAUCGAAUCUUUGAACGCACAUUGCGCCCCUUGGUAUUCCAUGGGGCAUGCCUGUUCGAGCGUCAUUUGUACCCUCAAGCUUUGCUUGGUGUUGGGUGUUUGUCCGCGUCUUGUACGCAGACUCGCCUUAAAUCAAUUGGCAGCCGGCAUGUUAGCCUGGAGCGCAGCACAUUUUGCGCACCUUGUUAGCGGUGUUGGCCCCCAUCAAGUCUAUAUAUUUGCUCUUGACCUCGGAUCAGGUAGGGAUACCCGCUGAACUUAAGCAUAUCAAAA